rnacentral:rRNA from 1 species
ACGUAGGGGGCGAGCGUUGUCCGGAAUUACUGGGCGUAAAGGGUGCGUAGGUGGCCUUUUAAGUUGGAUGUGAAAUACCCGGGCUUAACUUGGGGGGUGCAUCUAAUACUGGGAGGCUAGAGUGCAGGAGAGGGAAGCGGAAUUCCUAGUGUAGCGGUGAAAUGAGUGGAUAUUAGGAGGAACACCGGUGGCGAAGGCGGCUUUCUGGAUUGUAACUGCCACUGAGGCACGAAAGGGUGGGGAGAGAACUG